rnacentral:lncRNA from 1 species
UUGAACUCUCCAUAUUAUCAAUCUUUUCAUUAAGAUGAGAGUUGAUCUUUUGUUGCUCACCUACAAAGUCCUCCAUGACUUUGCUUAUCUUCAAAAUGGCUUGCUCCAAUGAAGAUGUACUCAUUGAUGGUUGAGGUUGAGGUUGAGGUUGGGUUAUAAGGUUGGGAUGGUUUAUAUACUCAAAUGAAGUUGGCAUGGCUUGUGGUUGUGCUUCAGUAUGCACAUUCCUCAAUUCAAACUCUUCUAUCCUUCUAGCCAUAGAUGCUAGCUUUGCCUUCAUGCUCAUGUCUUCAUUCA